rnacentral:rRNA from 1 species
AUUGAACGCUGGCGGCGUGCUUAACACAUGCAAGUCGUGCGGUAACAGGCGUAGCAAUACGUGCUGACGAGCGGCGAACGGGUGCGUAAUACAUGGGAAUCUGCCUUUUAGUGGGGAAUAACCCGGCGAAAGCCGGGCUAAUGCCGCAUAAGAUCUUCGGAUGAAAGCGGGGGAUCGUAAGACCUCGCGCUGAUAGAUGAGCCCAUGCCGGAUUAGCUAGNGGUGAGGUAACGGCUCACCAAGGCGACGAUCCGUAGCUGGUCUGAGAGGACGGCCAGCCACACUGGGACUGAGACACGGCCCAGACUCCUACGGGAGGCAGCAGGUGGGGAAUCUUGCGCAAGUGGGACGAAAGCCUGACGCAGCGACGCCGCGU